UUUUUGAUUUAAUUAAUUAAUUAAAAAAUUUAAUUAGUUUAAUUUUGAUUAAUCAAUUUUAAUUAACUUAAUUAUUUGAUUUAAUUAGAUAUUUUUGAUAAUUAAUCUUAAUUAAUUCAAUUAAUCGAUUUAACCAAGUUUUUAAUAAAUUAAUUUUGUUAAAAAAAGAAAUUGAUCGAUUUCUCCCACUAUCACAACUUCACAUUAUUUCAAACAAAAAAC
rnacentral:lncRNA from 1 species